rnacentral:lncRNA from 1 species
GCUUUUUAAGGCUGCACCUGUGGCAUAUGGAAGUUCCCAGACUAGGGGUUGAAUUGGAACUGCAGCUGCUGGCCUACACCACAGCCACAGCAAUGUGGCAUCCCAGCUGCAUCUGUGACCUGUGCCACAGCGCACCACAACCCCGGAUCCUUAACCCACUGAGCGAGGCCAGGGAUUGAACCCGCAUCCUCAUAGACUCCCCCUCCAAACCUGCCCUCUUCCUCUAAGGGAGAAACAGCCUUCCUUCCCCUCUGGGUAGGCUCCUCAAGGUCAAGACUGAACGCUGUUCCCCCAAUAGGACGCUGUGGGACCAUGAACAUUAGUGGAAGUUAAGAGCUAGAAUCAUAGGGGGAGCAGCCAUCCCAAUAUUCAAAAAGCACACAGACUGGAGUGGUGAACAGAAUUGUGGGUGACCCCCCCCCAGAAGAGAUCAGGACUGAGCCAGCAGGGCUGUGAGAGUCAUCUUUGUACCCUUCUGCUCCAAACAGGACGCCCGAUCAAGAGCUCCAUAAACGCUGCUGCUGGUCGAUGCAUUUCUUCCCUGGCUGUUGGACAAGUAUUUAUAGAGAACCUGCUUACAUGCAGUGUCCCAGGCAUGGGGGAAGCAGCAAUGAACACUGCAAAAGUCCCCACCUUUCAAGUGGAAAAAGGCAAGGGAGGACGCAGCAGUGACUAGAGCAGAGGUCCCCCCUUUCAAGUGGAAAAAGGUACAGGGGGAUGCAGCAGUGGAGACAGCAAAAGUCCCUCCCUUUCAAGUGGAAAAAGGGAUAUAUAUGUGUGUGUGCGUGUGUGCGCGUGUGUGUGUAUACGUGUACUAUAUAUAUGCAUAUAUAUAUAUAGUACAGCAUACAAAUAAAUGCACAGUGUGGGGGAUGACAGCAAGUACACUGAAAAAAGCUAAAACAAGGUGGAGGAAAGGGUGUGGGUCGGAGGGCGGGGGAGGGGUGCCCUGUCUGUUCUGGGUGCUUGGGGAGGCCUUCCUGCAGGAUGCAAGAGGCUGAGCCACACACCGUUCAGGUUCUGGCCCAGGGGGCAGCCAAGGACGGAGGCUAGCUGGGCAGGUUCAAAGGCCAGCAUGAGCAGCAAAGUGUCGGAUAGAGUGAGCCAAGGGGGGUGUGGAAUGAAACCAGGGGCCAUACUAAGGAUCUUGAAUUUUUUUUUCUCUUCUUUUCAGGGCUGCAGUCGAGGCACAGGGGGCUUUCCAGGCUAGGGGUCAAAUCAGCGCUACAGCUGCCGACCACAGCUCACAGCAAUGCAGGAUCCUUAACCCACUGAGCAGGCCCAGGGAUCAACCCCACAUCCUCAUGGACCUUGGUCGGAUUUGUGACCACUGGGCUACGACAGGAACUCCCAGAAUGCUGGAUUUGAUGGGAAUAAGGUGGAAGGAUUCUAGGGUUCCGAGGGAAGAGGGUGGUCAUUAGUCUUGCUCGCCCUGUUUGAAGAGCAGACCCAGGAAAUAGAAAGCAGUGAGAAAAGAGAGAUUCGUUUUUUGAGGCUGCUAAAACCCUCCAGGGAAGAGAGGAAGAUGGAUUUUAAAAGCUCCCAACAACAUGACUUUGGGGUCACUUUGCACCGUGACUAUCUCUGGGUGUGAGAGCACAGCUGGUUCACAUGCCCACUGCAACCUGGAGGCCAGAUCCUGUUCAAAGAAAGGGCUUCUGAAGGCCCCUGGGAUCUGACAACCAGGAAGUGGGAAGGAGUCCUGGGCCGGAGACCAGAGCCCAUCUAUGGGCUGGGAGGGGUGCUGCCCUCACGUGCCUGUGCUGGAGAGGGGGCCUGGGAGCAAGUCCAGGUUUGAUUAGGGGUACAAUCCCCUCACUCCAGACUGCGGCUCCUAGGAAAGGCAUCGUGAAUGUGGGCAGACAGGAAGAAGGUUCCAGAAACAGAGCCCGCAUUUGGAUCCUGUACCCCAAUCCAGUGAUUAAAAACACCCACCACACUCAGAACACCAGCCCUUCCUAACCAGAAUCCUGCUUCUGAAAAGUAGGGAACACGCUUUCAACUGUACCAAGUGUAUGACAAGGACAUUUCAUUCCCAUUUUUAUUUUAUUUUAUUGCCUUUUUUGGCAGGCUGCACCCACAGCAUAUGAAGGUUCCAGGCUAGGAGUCGAAUUGGAGCUAUAGCUGCCAGCCUAUACCACAGCCACAGUAACACUGGAUCCUUAACCACUGAUUGAAGCCAGGGAUCGAACCUGCAUCCCCAUGGAUACUAGUCAGUUCGUUUCCGUGGAGCCACAAGAGGAACUCCUAGAUCUUCCUUUUUUUUUGGGGGGGUCUUUUUGCCAUUUUUUGGGCCGCUCCUGAGGCAUAUGGAGGUUCCCAGGCUAGGGGUCCAAUUGGAGCUGUAGCCACCGGCCUACACCUCAGCCACAGCAACUCGGGGAUCCGAGCUGCAUCUGCAACCUACACCAUAGCUCAGGGCAACGCCAGAUCCCUAACCCACUGAGCAAGGCCAGGGAUCGAACCCAAAACCUCAUGGUUCCUAGUCAGAUUCGUUAACCACUGAGCCACGAAGGGAACUCUGAUAUUCCCAUUUUUAAAAAGGGAGGCAUUAGAGAAAUUGUGGAAACAGAUUUCAUCUCGCUCAGGAGUGGGAAUAAUUCAAGGAAGGCCAACACAGAGAUCUCAGUGGGUCUAAAAACAACAGUUCAGCCAACUCCCAACCUGUAGCCUGAGUCUCAAGUCUUGCCUCUCAGGGGAUCCUCUUAAAUUCUCUAGAGGUAGGGACAUUUUUGAUAGGUCUUCUAGAACCUGCAGAGUACAGCGCACAGCAUCGCUAGCACUGAUACACAAUGCCUAUCACCUACCUCAGCGCGAUAUCACACAUUUCUAUCUCUUGGCCUUUCAGCUUUAUUAUCUAUCUGCACAGAGUGGGAAAUGUGACCAGCCUGUCUGCCAUCUAAGUUUCUAUAACUGGAUUUUC